rnacentral:lncRNA from 1 species
UUUUGAUGGAAUUGAGAUUCACGGUGCACAUGGAUAUCUCAUUGAUCAAUUCUUAAAGGAUGGAAUCAAUGACCGAACUGACGAAUAUGGGGGAUCACUAGCAAACCGGUGCAGGUUCCUAUUGCAGGUGGUUGAAGCUGUUGUUUCUGCCAUUGGGGCAGAAAGAGUUGCUGUGAGAAUUUCACCUGCUAUUGAUCACCUUGAUGCCAUUGACUCUGACCCACUUGGGCUAGGCUUAGCAGUGGUUGAGAGACUCAACAGUUUCCAGAAAAAGCUGGGCAGAAAACUCACUUAUCUUCAUGUUACUCAGCCUCGAUACACAGCUUACGGCCAAACUGAGUCAGGUAGACCUGGCAGCGAAGAGGAGGAAGCUCAUUUAAUGCAGAACUUGAGAAAGGCUUAUGAGGGAACAUUCAUGUGUAGUGGUGGUUUUACUAGGAAGUUAGGAAUGGAAGCUGUAGCCGAAGGCCAUGCUGACUUAGUAUCCUACGGUCGUCUUUUCAUUUCCAAUCCAGACUUGGUUUUAAGGCUCAAACUUAAUGCACCUCUAACCAGAUAUAACAGGAAGACGUUUUACACUCAGGAUCCUGUUAUAGGCUACACAGAUUAUCCUUUCAUGACCAAAGAAACUGAGGCAAAGGACCCAAGGGCACGCCUUUAACUGUAAUGUUUUUUGGCUUUUAUAAUUUAGAUAGUCAUAUUUAUAAUUCGAAUAUCUCAAUCUUAAGUGAAUGCCUUUGUUCUGAAAAUUUGUCUGAUAUAUAAGUUCUUUGGCCUGUAUGGAAGUUGCAUCUCUGUAUUUAUUAUUGAAUUACUUUGUAUAAUAGUUUUAAUUCCGUUCCUUCUUAAUAUGGUGAACUAUUGUUUUUCAGCUUGAGAUUAGUCAUAUAACCAAUGAAACCUUGGAAGUGUAUGAUGCUAUUAAUUUCAUAGCUUUUCUAUAUAAGUGACAGGGUCCUCCCUAGGAAAUAAGGACUUAAGACAUACUUUUUAUUUAUUUUUAAGUAUAAUUAUUAUUUUUAUUUCCUUCAACAUCUAUAGUUAAUAACAUAGUUAUUGUAUUACCUUUUAUUUUAAUAACUAUGAAUGCACACGGUAUCAGAAUUGAUGAUUCGUUUUCUUGAUUGGUUCAGACAAGUACAGUUAUUGUUAUAUCGAAAGUCUUUUUAAUGAACAGUUCCAGGUAAGUAUGUUCUCUUAAGAUGAAUAAUGAUACGAAGGGUUACUCGUAGUUUAGGCUGGUUGAGUGGGGUUUGGCCCUUCUCUUAAGUAUGUUUUCAAAAUUAACACACCAUGGUUUUAAUUCAGCGUCGUUUAUAAUCUCUGGACUCAAAUAAAAAAUAUUUUCUUUUUAUAAAAAGUGUUCGAAACAUUUGACAUGAGUUGCAAAAGUUGAAAAUCCUGAAAGUAAGAAUAAUUAAUAUAAUAUAUAUAUUUUUUCAAUUACAUUUGCAGUUACGCAAUCUCUUUACAUAAUUUAUAUUAUAUUCCCUAAAAAAAAGAAAAAAGUGACCAUUUGAAUAGAAAAAUUCAAUUCUAUUUAUUUCCCUUUCAUCUGUUUUUUUUUUUCAAAUUUCUUCUUACUUUUAUUUUCCUUUUACAUAAUUUAUAUUAUAUUACUUAUUUCGAUAUCAUAAUAUUAUGUUGAUUUUUAUUUUAUAAAAUUUAAAUAGUAAAGAUGUAGUAUCUAAUAAGAAUUAAUUUCACACAAUCACGAAAUGCUAUAAAUUAAAUAUUUUAAUGUAUCCACCACAUAAGUCAAAUAGUUUAAGAACUUUACACAUUCCUGCUCUUUAAUAUAAACAUAAAAGUUAACGAAACACUAUAAUACAUUUUUUAAAAGAUAUCGAAAAAGUAUUUUCUAUAAUUUUAAAUGAAAACAAUAAUAAGUAUUUUUUUUACAUUUGAAUAAAGAAUAAUGAUAAAUUGAAAGUCGAUUUUAUACAACCAAUUUACAACUAUUAUUAUUGUAUAGGAUGAUGGUUCUAUUAACUUAAGAUUGGACCGUUUUAUCAUAUAACCUAAUGAAAUCGAAAUUAAGAUUGGAUUAAUACAACCCAAUAAUGUUAAGAUGACUACAUUAAAUUUAAAUAUAAUUAUUAUCAAUUAGAUCAUAGUAUUAAUUUAAAGUUGAAUCUAAAAUAUAUAAAUAUAUAUUUGAAAUAUAAUUAUAAGUGAGUAAUAAUUAAUACAUAUUUAUUGUCAAUUAAUACAUAUUUAUUGUUAAUAUGGUUGAAUUCUUCCUAAUAUCAAAGUAGUCUCUACAAUUAAGUUGAAAGAACAAAUAAAUGAAAAGAACCUCACAAACCAAAAUAAUUAUUAUUUAUUAAAUAAUUUAAUUAAGUAUCUUCAUUUAACAAUUUAUCAUUAAAGUUGUAAUCUGAUUAUAUAUAAAGAAGGUUGUUAUAAAAUACUUUUUUAUUUCUUUUAAAAAAAAUGUUUUUUGAACACUCAAACAAUAUUUGACGCCUUUUUUAAAAGUAAUAUAAUCAUAAAAAGUAUAUUUAUGUAAUUGUAAAAAAACAAAAGUAGAUGAUAACUUAUUGAAUGCAUAGAAUUUAUUAGAAUUUCAAGACGCCUUCUACUGUCAAAGUCUAUGAAUACAAAAAUCUGUGAGACUAUGACGGUGAAGAAAUGGAAAAAAAAGAAAAAAAAUUCAGAAAGUUGAUUUAAUUUUGAUGAAGAAAAUAAAAGGUAUUCAUAUUGGAUUUGGCAAGAUGUUUGAACAUGUGGUAACCGACCACAGAGAGAAUAUAAAUCACGUGGAAGUCAAACCGCGUGAAACAUAUGCAGCAGAAGAUGGAUUACUAUAUAUAUGGUACCCAAGUGCCUCGUAGGUUGGCACCAUUGACCAUUGUCUGAUUGCCACCUUCAUUACUUUCUCUUCUUUCAACAAUGGCAGAUAUCUCCACCCUUUUUUCUCCUUACAAUAUGGGAAAAUUCAACCUCUCUCACAGGUCACUCACACACUUUCCAUUGCCUUCUUCUUCAAUCUAUUCUCACAAAAUCUAUGAAAUGAGCACUAACUGUUUGAUUUAAGUUUUGUGCAGGGUUGUGUUGGCUCCCAUGACAAGAUGCAGAGCUUUGAAGGGGAUUCCAAACGCAGCGCAUACAGAGUACUACGCUCAGAGAUCAACUCCAGGUGGAUUUCUCAUCACUGAAGGCACUUCCAUCUCUCCCACUUCUUCUGGGUACAUUCUACUUAUCUCUUCUCACUAUUAUUAUCUCUCUACUGUUGUUUAAUUUAGGGAUAAACAACCAAUCAAUUGUUCUUUAAUCUUUUUGUUUGUCAUGAAAAUGAUGUUUAGGGGUAUUUAAGGAUUCAAUUAGAUCAAUUUGAUGAAAAAUAAUGGUACACCAUUCGUUUAUUUUUGCUUUUGUUCCUUCAUCAUUCGAGAAAAAAGAUAUACAGAUUUCAAAAUGAGAAAUGAAAUAUAUACAAAUUAAUCUAGUAUCAGACGGAAAAUAUAAUUCAAAUUUUACAUUUUUUGUUUUAGAGGAAAAGCUACAAAGUAUACCUUCAAAUACAUGCAAUGCUUUAAAACAUGAUUUAAUAAUCUCUCAAAAGAUAAAUGAAUGUUAGGUAAUAAAUUCCAGGUUCAUGGUUCUUGAUUAUAUGAGCAUGAAUCUAAUUUAUGAUAUUGAAUAUGCAAUAAAGUUUGGUUUGAGUUUAAAUAUGAUCAAUUUUCAACAUAUAUGUACAGAAUCCUAAAUCAGAUUUAAUCCAAUAAAAACUCAAUUUUUGUUUUAUUUCAAAUUUUCUGGAUUUUCAUUUUGUUUUCUAGUUUUUCGGUUGAGUUACACUUACCAUGAUUCGUGUGAAUGAUUUGAAUUAUUGUUGAAAAUGAUAUUCAUGAAACCAUCAUUAAUCUUUGUAAAUUUUUUAAUAUGUGAUAACUGAAACCACCGUCCAUAUUAAUCCAUUUUCUUUCUUUUAACUCAAACCAAUUUGCUUAACCAAUGGUAAUAAUUAAGCAACUAAUUAACAAAGAAUUCUGAUUUUCUUUUUAAAAAAAUAUAUUGAUAAUAUGAAUAUUAUAUAUUUUUAAAAAAUAUUUAUAUUUUUUAAUCAUUAUUCAUCAAAUAAUGAUUAACUAAUAUAACUGUAAAAGAAUUGACAUUUUUUAGCUCUUAAUGUAGUAUUUUUGUAAUUGAUUAUAUAGUUUGGUGCACGAUAUGAGCAGUGAGUAGUAACUAAUAAGUGGUGAUCUUUAUGCAGGUUUCCUCACGUGCCUGGAAUAUACACUGAUGAACAAGUGGAAGCAUGGAGAAGUGUUGUGGAUGCCGUGCACGCCAAAGGCAGCAUAAUCUUCUGUCAACUUUGGCAUGUUGGCCGCGCAUCAAAUCCAGGUUGCAUCAUGAUAAAUUCCAUUCCAUCCUUAAUUAUGUCUUUUUAUAUGACAUUCACUUUUCAGUGAAUUGUUCACUCAUUUAGCACCUUAAAUGGAUUUGAAACAGUGUAUCAACCUGGUGGGGCUGCACCUAUUUCGUCCACCAGUAAACCCAUAUCAGAGAAGUGGAGGGUUCUCAUGCCAGAUGGGUCCCAUGGCGUGUUCUCAGAGCCUCAUGCUCUCACCACUGCUGAAAUAUCUGAAGUAGUGCAGCAUUAUCGCCAAUCAGCAAUUAAUGCAAUUCAAGCAGGUUGUACUUUAUCGUUUUGCUAAGUAUAACAUCUACCUUUUCAAUUUUCAAUGAAAAAAAAGUUAUUUAGAUAGAUUUGAUUCGAGUAAAAUAGUCUGAAGAAAAGUUAAGUUUUAUAUUUGUAAAGAAAAAGAAAGAGGGAAAGGUAGUGAAGGAUGGUAUAAAAUGAAGUAAAAAAAUUCGUGUGUGAAAGGACGAUUGUCCUUCCUAUAUAUCUAUGUUAUAUGACGAUGAUGAUGAAAUGUGACAUACUAUAUAUAUACUCGCACAGGUUUUGAUGGAAUCGAGAUUCAUGGGGCGCAUGGGUAUCUCAUCGAUCAAUUCUUGAAGGACGCAAUCAAUGAUCGAACAGAUGAAUAUGGUGGAUCACUAGAAAACCGGUGCAGGUUCCUAAUGCAGGUGAUUGAAGCUGUUGUUUCUGCUAUUGGGGCAGAAAGAGUUGCUGUCAGAAUUUCACCAGCAAUUGAUCACAUGGAUGCCUUUGACUCUGACCCACUUGGGCUAGGCUUAGCAGUGAUUGAGAAACUGAACAAAUUCCAGAAAGAAAAGGGAACAAAACUGGCUUACCUUCAUGUUACUCAGCCUCGAUUCACCCUUCUUGAGAGAACCGAGGCAGAGAGGGAAGAAGAGAGUGUUGAUCUGAUGCAGGAGUGGAGAAGGGCUUAUGAGGGAACAUUGAUGUGCAGUGGUGGCUUUACUAGGGACUCAGGAAUGAAAGCUGUGGCUCAAGGCCUUGCUGAUUUGGUUUCCUUUGGUCGUCUUUUCAUCUCUAAUCCAGACUUGGUUUCAAAGCUGAAGCUUAAUGCACCUCUCACCAGCUACAACAGGAACACCUUUUACACCUCAGAUCCUGUCAUCGGUUACACAGAUUAUCCUUUCCUGCAAAAACUAACCCAUACAAAUUAAGGAUAUCAUUGAUUUUAGUUUCCUAAAUUAGAGUUAAUCUCUUUAUUUAUGUAAUUUCAAAAAAUAAAAUUGUUUUAAUGAAUUAUAUGUCCUUUGCAUUCUAC